rnacentral:rRNA from 1 species
UAGGGAAUAUUGCAAAAUGGGCGAAAGCCCGAUGCAGCAACGCCGCGUGGGCGAUGAAGGCCUUCGGGUCGUAAAGCCCUUUUUGAGGGGAUGAGGAAGGACAGUACCCUCAGAAUAAGCCUCGGCUAACUACGUGCCAGCAGCCGCGGUAAAACGUAGGAGGCGAGCGUUAUCCGGAUUUACUGGGCGUAAAGCGCGUGCAGGCGGAUUGGAGAGUUGGAUGUGAAAGCUCCCGGCUUAACUGGGAGAGGUCGUUCAAUACUUCCAGUCUUGAGUGCAGUAGAGGGGAGUGGAAUUCCGGGUGUAGUGGUGAAAUGCGUAGAUAUCCGGAGGAACACCAGUGGCGAAAGCGGCUUCCUGGACUGUAACUGACGCUCAGACGCGAAAGCUAGGGUAGCAAACG